GACGAACGCUGGCGGCGUGCCUAACACAUGCAAGUCGAACGAGCGAGAGAGAGCUUGCUUUCUCGAGCGAGUGGCGAACGGGUGAGUAACGCGUGAGGAACCUGCCCCAAAGAGGGGGACAACAGUUGGAAACGACUGCUAAUACCGCAUAAGCCCACGACCCGGCAUCGGGUUGAGGGAAAAAGGAGCAAUCCGCUUUGAGAUGGCCUCGCGUCCGAUUAGCUAGUUGGUGAGGUAACGGCCCACCAAGGCGACGAUCGGUAGCCGGACUGAGAGGUUGAACGGCCACAUUGGGACUGGGACGACGGCCCAG
rnacentral:rRNA from 1 species